rnacentral:lncRNA from 1 species
GACUGUCGUUGCUUUGGCAACAAAUGUAGCAUUCCGAUAUAUUGACCUGGUGAUCAGGUAAGGUAUAGGAGUGUUACACGAACCCAGCUUGACCCGUCCAUAUUAAAAAAUUGUGCAUUAUUUUUGUAUAUAUAAAAAUUAAAAAUAUAAUACAUCAAAAACACUAAAAAUAUUAAAAUAAAUAUAUCCCAACAAAUAGAAAAUAAAUUUAAAAAGUUUCUAUACUUAAAUAACACUAAGAUAGGUCUUAAAAAUAUAUAUGUCAACUUCCGAUAACAAUGAGGACGGCGAUGCUUGUCCGGCCGAUGGUCGUAAUUCCAAAAAAGUUCGGUUUAAGGGAAAAGAAGGGAAUAACGUCGAAAUGCUAGUUGGCCCGAUGUCGUCACCAUCUGUGUCCCGGAAAGAUUUGUUAUUGAGGAAUUUUGCCAAAUCAACAGAAAGAGCAGGGGAAAAAAAUAAGGAACAUUUUAACCUCGAAGAAAAAGAUUUCUCUAUGACCAUAGUUAAUGGAAUACUCGCGAUUGAUUUUUCUGACCGGGUUAAGAAUUACCUGUUGAAAGACAUAGAAACCACCGUUGUGGUUAAACUUCUGGGGCGGAGCAUUGGAUACAUUACUCUUCAGAAUAGGGUUUCAAGUUUGUGGCAACCUUCUAAGUCUUUUCCAAUUAUGGAUUGGAAAAUGGCUAUUUUUACGUAAAAUUUCAAAGUAAAGAGGAUUAUAAGAAAAUGCUUAUUCAGGGUCCUUGGACCGUCUUCAAUCAAUAUCUCAUGUGACCUAGAUCUGACUACCAAGACUUCUCGGAUAUUUGUACAAUAAGAAGAUUCUUAAGGAGAUUGGCGGAAUGAUAGGGAGGGUAGCGAAGCUUGAUUUUAACAUCAACAAGGGGUUGAGGGGACAAUUUUCGUCAAUCUGGAUAAGCCUCUAAUUUCUCAAAUUUUGGUUAACGGAAAAACACAGAGUAGAGUAUGAGUCUUUACCGAUCGUUUUCUUUUCAUGCGGGAGACAUGGCCAUGUUAAGGAUUUGUGCUCCUUCUCUGCCGGUACUAAGGGUAACGCCGGAGAAAAAAGAGGGAUCAAUGGAGACCAAGCCUAUAACUGAAGAUUCGAUGAAGGAGGCGACAGAGUUUGGGCCUUGGAUGAUCGUUGACAGGUGGUCUCACCGUAAUCUCAAAUAUUCGAGCAAAUCAGUGGCUAAAAUUCCAGGAAGUGAAGCAAAUGGUUCAAGAUUCAGGUCAUUAGUUUUGAUGGAAAAAGGAAAUGGGGAAUAAGAAGAUUGUACGGCUGAUUUAUCGAGGAUCAAUUUUAAGAAAGGAGAUUUUUUCAAGAUACUUAAAUGUGUUAAUAAAAGGAAAGGGGCCAAAGAUUUAGAUCCGGUUAUUGAAGUAGAAGAGUUGGACAAUGCGGGUCAUGGUUGUAGGUCUGGGCCUGGGGAUUAAUCUAAGAAGUUGGGUUCAGAUUUUAUGGGAAUUGGGUCGAUUGUGGGGACUGAAGUGGACCAAAACUUAGCUGCAGAAGGAGGCGUUAAUGCUGGUAAAGGGGCUAUUAAUACCAGGUCAGUUUCAAGGGGUUUAGGCCAACUCGAUGGCAGCCAUAAAAUAAAUAAUGCCUCUUCAGGCCCAGUUGAAAAGUCUCUCUCGCCCAUUCAUAAUUUCAAUUAUUAUUUGUCGAGUAAUAAUUUAAGCCUUUAAUAAAAUACUUUUUGUAGAAUAUUAAUAGAUAUUUCAACCC